rnacentral:rRNA from 1 species
UACGUAGGGUCCGAGCGUUGUCCGGAAUUACUGGGCGUAAAGAGCUCGUAGGUGGUUUGUCGCGUUGUUCGUGAAAACUCACAGCUCAACUGUGGGCGUGCGGGCGAUACGGGCAGACUAGAGUACUGCAGGGGAGACUGGAAUUCCUGGUGUAGCGGUGAAAUGCGCAGAUAUCAGGAAGAACACCCGUGGCUAAGGCGGCUCUCUAGUACGGUACUGACGCUGAGACGCGAAAGCGUGGGGAGCGAACAGG